GGUGAACGCUGGCGGCGUGCUUAAGACAUGCAAGUCGAACGAUCGUCUUCGGACGGUAGUGGCGCACGGGUGGGUAACGCGUAACUGACCUGCUCCCUAGUCUCGAAUAACCCUCCGAAAGGAGGGCUAAUACGGGAUGUGCUGUCCCCUCCUGUGGGGCCAGUAAAGGCUUGACCGUUUGGGGGUUGGGUUGGGUUCCAUGAGCUAGAUGGUGGGGUAAAGGCCUACGGUGGCAACGACGGCUAACCGGCCUGAGGGGGUGGCGGGUCACAGGGGCACUGGGGCACGGGACCCGCUCCUACGGGAUGCAGGAGGCAGGAAUCGUGACCAAUGGACGAAGGUCUGAGGGAGCGACGCCGCGUGAGGGGUGAAGGAUGUCGGAUUGUAAGCCGCUGACUCAGGGACGAAAGGCGCGGAAGCGAGAGGACGUUACCGGAGUAAUAGCACCGGCUAACUCCGUG
rnacentral:rRNA from 1 species